rnacentral:rRNA from 1 species
CUACGGAGGGUGCAAGCGUUAUCCGGAAUCAUUGGGUUUAAAGGGUCCGUAGGCGGGCUAAUAAGUCAGGGGUGAAAUCCCACAGCUUAACUGUGGAACUGCCCUUGAUACUGUUGGUCUUGAGUUACAGUGAAGUGGUUAGAAUGUGUAGUGUAGCGGUGAAAUGCAUAGAGAUUACACAGAAUACCGAUUGCGAAGGCAGAUCACUAACUGUAUACUGACGCUAAUGGACGAAAGCGUGGGGAGCGAACAGGAUUAGAAACCCCAGUAGUCC